GACGAACGCUGGCGGCGUGCCUAACACAUGCAAGUCGAACGCAGUGGGGACGGGUGAGUAACACGUGGGUAACCUCCCAUCAGAGGGGAUAACAUUUGGAAACAGGUGCUAAACUGAUAGUGAUGGAUGGACCCGGGGUGCAUUAGCUAGCUGGGGAGGUAACUGCACACCAAGGCCACGAUGCAUAGCCGACCUGAGAGGUUGAUCGGCCACCCUGGGACUGAGACACGGCCCAGACUCCUACGGGAGGCAGCAGUAGGGAAUCUUCGGCAAUGGACGAAAGUCUGACCGAGCAACGCCGCGUGAGUGAAGAAGGUUUUCGGGUCGUAAAGCUCUGUUGUUAGAGAAGCGGUAUCUAAAGAGAAAGCCACGGCUAACUACGUGCCAGCAGCCGCGGUAAUAC
rnacentral:rRNA from 1 species